GUUUUCGUAGUGUAGUGGUUAUCACGUGCGCUUUACACGCGGAAGGUCCCCUGUCCAAUCCUGGGCGGAAACA
rnacentral:tRNA from 1 species